rnacentral:tRNA from 1 species
AAAAGGAGUAAUUUAUCUAAAAUAGACUUCUAAUCUAAUUUAAAAAGCUUAAGCCCUUUUUCCUUUUU